GAAGGAUGAGAAGCUUCGACUAAGGUUCGAUUCGAGCGCAGCGAGAAAGCGUUGCCGUAGGCAACGACCCGAAGGGCGAAGCGCGCAGCGCUGAGUCAUCCUUCCCCCACCACCA
rnacentral:sRNA from 1 species